AUUAUAUGAUACAGUUAUAUUUUGGUAUAUGUGCAUUUGUUGAGAUCGUCAAAGCUGAAACUAUGAAGAGAAGCACACAUCACUAUAUGGCUGACCUCAUGUGUACAAGAUGACUUCAGCAAGUUAAAGUGAUCAGACUUCUUUUCAAAGACUACUAGAUUUCCCAGGAAGAAAUGAUAAUUUGAUUAUACUCAAAGGGAGGGGAACAAGCAACCCUCAGGCUGCUGAAGUACAGCUUUCUUUAGGUACCUUCCAUCAUGCUGAGUCAAGUACAUGCACCCCAGCCCUCUGGAGAUCCUGCACCAAAUCACUUUUGCCUAGACGACUCUCUGCUCUGCAGCAGGUGGGAUAACAAGCAUGGAGGACUUACAAAGAUGUGGGGUUGAGACCCACAGCUGCAGGUAGAGCUGUACCUAGAUGACAAGCAACAUCACUUCCUUCUUUCUGUUGUACUAAUGUAUGGAGCAGAUGCAGUGUUCUUGUUCUGAUCUGUGAUGAAGUAACAUCCCAGCCCUGAUUCACUGCCAUUUGUAGUAAGAUAAAAGGUGGGGCUGUUACACUGCAUACAGUACAACUGGAUCUCACAAUCAGAUUAACAGCAGCAGAUACAUGUGUUUGGCCAUAAACUUCUAUUACAGUCCUUCCUCUCUCUUUCCCCUAGACUGGCUGUGUAUUUUUUUGCCUCCUGAAGUCUGUGUUGAAUUAAAAAAAAAUGCAGAAUGGCCUGGAGGUGGCAGCAGCCAGACCAGCAAAACAAACUGUAUUUGAAGAAAUUUGAUUCACUGUGGAGUCAAAAGUUCUGUAGAGUCAGGAAAGAGCCACUGCUGGAGCUUCACCAUGGCAAAUGUGUCAUAACUUAUAGAAUGGCAGAGAUUUUGCUUUCAUUGUUGUAAACAUAACUGGCU
rnacentral:lncRNA from 1 species